rnacentral:rRNA from 1 species
AGAGUUUGAUCCUGGCUCAGGACGAACGNCUGGCGGCGUGCCUAACACAUGCAAGUCGAACGAAGUAUAUUUAUAUACUUAGUGGCGGACGGGUGAGUAACGCGUGAGCAAUCUGCCCUAUACAGAGGAAUAGCCUCGGGAAACCGGGAUUAAAACCACAUAACACUUAAGUGCCGCAUGACACAUAAGUCAAAUUGAGUAAGAGGUAUAGGAUGAGCUCGCGUCUGAUUAGCUAGUUGGUGGGGUAAAGGCCUACCAAGGCGACGAUCAGUAGCCGGCCUGAGAGGGUGAACGGCCACACUGGAACUGAGACACGGUCCAGACUCCUACGGGAGGCAGCAGUGGGGAAUAUUGCACAAUGGAGGGAACUCUGAUGCAGCGACGCCGCGUGAGUGAAGAAGGUCUUCGGAUCGUAAAACUCUGUCCUUGGUGAAGAUAAUGACGGUAGCCAAGGAGGAAGCCCCGGCUAACUACGUGCCAGCAGCCGCGGUAAUACGUAGGGGGCUAGCGUUGUCCGGAUUUACUGGGCGUAAAGGGUGAGUAGGCGGUUGCAUAUGUCAGAUGUAAAAGGCGUAGGCUUAACUUACGUUAGCAUUUGAAACUGUGCGACUUGAGUGCAGGAGAGGUAAGCGGAAUUCCUAGUGUAGCGGUGAAAUGCGUAGAUAUUAGGAGGAACACCAGUGGCGAAAGCGGCUUACUGGACUGUAACUGACGCUGAGUCACGAAAGCGUGGGUAGCAAACAGGAUUAGAUACCCUGGUAGUCCACGCUGUAAACGAUGAGUGC